rnacentral:lncRNA from 1 species
AAAAAACAUAACGUGAUUUAGGUUUCUCUUAUUAUAUGAUUUAAUUAAUUAUCUAAGUUACCAUUAUUAUGUUUAUCAAAUGUUUUUGUUAUUGUACCAUAGCAAAUUACUUUGUAUUUUUCUCUAUGUCUUUGGUUAGAUUAUGGUCAACGUACCUUUCAUCAGUUGAAAAUGCAUGUUUAAGAUAAACAUUGUACCAUGCAAAUAUUAGGCAUUUCCAGGUAAAACAACGAGCCAACGAUUAUUGUUUGAAAUUGAUAUAUCAAGAAAAAUUGCAUAUUAUUUUACAUGUAAUGGCGUUUUUUUUUUCUUUUUAAAAGACUAAAAAAUUAAAAUUACUCAAAGUUAAAUAAAUAGGAAAUUCUCAGAUAAAAUUAAACAUAUUACGACGAUUUAACAUAAAUAUCAUCAAGUUUAUCAUCAAUUAUUUGAAUAUCAAUUGUCUUACAGUUUGAAUAUUUUCAAAAUAUUUUCUUGUGUUAGUCUUUUUGCAAGUUGUCAUCAUUGAAAUGUCUAAUUAAGUUUAGAUUGUUUAGAGGAGUUACUUGACGCUUUAUAGAGAAGAUUUUGGAAAAUUAGUUCAUAACUAGGUCUUGUCCCUUGAUGUAAAUAGGUUUAUUUGUUUCUUUGAAAAUGUACAAACAGUUUUAAUUUAUGUUGUCGUUGCUCCUAAUAUUAACGCGUUAUAUUAUUUGUGUAUUUGUAUCUUGAGUGUUUUGAUUGAUCAUGCUCCACGCAUUUUCCGAUCAUUUGAAAUUGCCUUUUUAAGAUAAAAAAAAAUAUGCAAUAUUUUAUGCAAUUUAGGUAAAAAUGGGUCAUCGUUUAUGUUUUUAUUAAAUGGCAAAUCGCAUGAUUGUAUAAUAAGUUUGUGAAAAAAAGUAAAAUCACAAAAAUACUGAACUAAGAGGAAAAUCAAUUCGGAAAGUCCAUAAUCACAUGGCAAAAUCAUAUAACAAUACGCAUCAAAAACGAAUGUCAAAUUAUUGUCUUGAUAAUUAGUCUAAACAUAAGAACAACGAGAGGAUUAGAUAAAUUUUUGCCAUGUGAUAUGUAUUUUAACAGUCAUCAAUUUAAAAGCUUAAAUUUCUAUUUCCUAUAUUCUGAUUGUUUACAAACUAUUCAUUUAUACAAAUUGCCAAUAGCUAGAUUUCUCUCCAUCUUUCGACAAUGUUUUGGACGUUCAAAUGUCUUGUUUUAUCAUAAUCUUUCCAAGUGUAAAUAUAUUUUUUAAAGCUUCAUGUCGGUUUGAAGAAAACAUUUCGGUUAAAUACCUGCGAAUAUAAAUACGCUUCAUAAACUUGCAGUGAGAUGAGAGGGUUUUUUUUUGCUCCGUGUUGAAGGCCUCACUGUGACUUUUAAAUGAAGAUCAGCAAUUAAAGCGCCGUUCCGUUGCUUUUGUAUAUUCCUUUUUUGUUGCUGUGCAUGUACUUUUUUUCAUGGAAGGAUACCCCAUAUCCUUUGUGUUUUUAUUAUGUGUUAAUUUGAAAGUUAACUCUUUUGUUUUGUAUUGUGUUUGCUAUAAUUAUUUACGCUUUAAAUUCUAAUUUUGCAUAUUUUUUAUAAAAUAUUUAUUGUAUUGUAUCAUAGCUCUUAUCCUGUGAAUCUUGUGUGUUUAUCAUGGUCAAAGUAUUAGUUUUAAAUAAUUAUUUGCGAUGACAAAAACAUAAUGUAUUGGAGCACCAAAAGAAAGACAAAAUAGAGAGUUUAUCUGAAAUUAUUUUUAGCAUAUUUUACCUAAAGACUGGGCGAUCUUAUUUUUUCCAUAGAUAAAACAAAUGGACAUCUUAUUGUGAUAUCUAUAUUCUACUCGUACCACAUUAAACGGGAGUAUUUUAUGAUCAAGUGAUAAAACAACUGUUGAAAAGCAGAGUACGGUUUGACACCAAUUCUAUGCAGCACAUUGUAUUUGAGUUAUGUUUUACAUAUGCAGUACUAGUAUAUCAUUUGCUCCAAAAAUAAAUGCUGCGUUUAUGCUGAUUAACAUGCUGAUAGAACAUGUAAAAUGUAAUGAAAACGUUCUAAAAAGUCAAUAUUGAAAAGAAGCAACAUUGAUAAACUGGACCCAAAUAAUUUUUAUAACAUCUGUGCACUAAAUCUGCUGCAUGUGUAAUUAUUGAUACUUAUUCAUAUUAAUAAGACCAUAUAUUCUAUCAUCCUUUUAAAGAGAAAUGUUGAAAUUUAAACUUUUACUCUGUGAAAACUUGCUGAUUUAAUUAAAAUUACUGUUUUUGUUAAAUAGCAAAGUGACACAUUUUCAAAUAAUCUCUUGUUAACAUGUUAAAAAAAAAAUCACGAGUACAGGUCAAUAACGUUAUUUUUCGAAAUUGUAAACAUGCAUUGCAAAUUUUAACUGUUUAAAAAUACAAUAGAAUUGAUGCUGUUUUUCUUAAAAUUCAGCUUGUAUCACGUGGUAUAAUUUUAAAUUAAUAUUAUGCAUUUACCUCGACAAUUGGAUGUAAAAACAAUAAUUUUCAAGAAAAAACUUUUUACAAAAAAGUUGGUGCAAAAUUUUGAGAUUUUUAAUAAAAUAUUAGUUUCCAUGUAGGUAAUUCAGAUUCGUAAGACCAUAUACAUUUUUCUUUAAUAAUGUUACUUUUAAUGGGGUUUUUUUUCUUGCACUUAUAACUGUAACUUA